GCGCCCGUAGCUCAGUCGGAUAGAGCGAUCGCCUCCUAAGCGAUAGGCCGCCUGUUCAAUUCAGGCCGGGCGCGCCA
rnacentral:tRNA from 1 species